UGAUUUUGGAAUAUGGAUGUGUUGAUAUAAUUUUUGAAUUGUGGAUUUGAGUUUGUGACAUGGAGUUUAGUUUAAUUUUAAGAGGAAAUGCUAUCGAAUUUUCAUUAGGUAUUUAAUAUGGAAAGUGAAGCUUAUAGUUGAUUUUGAUUGUUAAAUUGUUAUGGUUUAGGAGGAGCUUUAGGAUUAUGAUUUAUAUGGAUGAAAAAGUGACAUAUGUGAGUUGGUAUCUUGCAAUACAGUUUUGCAGGUGAUAUAAGAUGGAUGUUGAGUAUCAGUUUAAUGGUUUUAGAUGCUUCGACUGGCUAGACUCCAUGGUCCUGUAAAGCAAGGGAAGAAUGACUUUCAGUGUGGAUAAGGGUGUUAUAACUGUAAUAGACCAAAUCCACAAGUGCAUGGUGUCGUCUUAAAUAAUACAUUGAUAAGAGAAUUAUCGAUCCAACAAAGAUUGGAUAUUAAGUACCAAAAGCCUAUGUGAUUA